AGAUGAGAAAUGGGACGAAGCAGCACCAUGUGCCCCUCCCCCCACAGGCUUCCUGCUCUGAACCUAAUCAUGAACAAAUAACAGAAGAAUCAACUGAUUUGUAGUCUCCAAAUAUUGUCAAGCAGGGUGUGUCUGAAAUCCCAGUCCUGGGGAGGCAGAGACUGGAGCUUCAUACCAAGGUACUGCCUCAAAACCAAACGAAUGACUGAAUCAAGGUUGUAAAAGUCAAAGAAAAGUUAAGAGACUGUUCCAGAGAAAGGAGACAAAAAAGAUCUUAAAAACUAAAUGAAAAAAAAAAUUAAAAUAGUCAGGCAGUGGUGUACACGCCUUUAAUCCCAGCACUUGGGAGGCAGAGGUAGGCAGGUCUCUGUGAGUUCGAGGCCAGCCUGGUCUACAGAGAGAGAUCCAGGACAGCCAGGGCUACACAGAGAAACCUUGUCCCAAAAAAACAGAAUGACAACAAAAAAGAAAGAAGCCCUCUACCUCUGGAUCUGGAUCGGAUGUGUCACUGGUUUGCUGGAGGACCUGGGCGGACAAACUGAAAACAGGAUGCAUGAGUUAACCUAUGGCUGGGAGGAACUGUGCCGGCAACUGCUGGCCACUCGGCAAAAACAUGCACCGAGCAGAACAACAUGGGCAUUUAAGGAGUCCGAAGCCAGGGCACACAAUGCUUUGGGCAGCCUUCUAGCCUCUCUGUAUAUCCGACAUUGCCAGGCAAAAGCCAGUUGUGGGUGUGUCCAAUUGAUGUAACGACAAUUCAGUAUGCCUGGGUGACACCAUGUGACUGCAUCCCAUCCUGACAACCACCCCGGAAGGUGUGACUACCUCCCUCUUUGUGUGGAUGACCCCCAGAGGCUGGGUGUCUUGCCCAAAGUCACACAGCUGGAAGAGGUGGGAAAUGCCUGUGAGAUACCUGCUAGAUAGACAGAGUACUACCGUGGGCUCUGCACAGAAGAGGGCAUGGGGCAGAGAUGCUUGCGGUUUAGAAGAGGGACCUGAGGCACAGGCCAGUGGCUGGUAACAACUCCUCCUGUCUCCGCUCACUUGAGAACAGGUAAGGAAGGGAUCACUUCUUCCUUGUAUCCUCUUGCUCUGUCUCCUCAGGAAUCCGAGGUGGUCUGUGGAAGAGAUCACUGGCCGGGAAUUGGGACCUCAAAGGUAGUCUGUUAGAUCCCUGCUGGCUCUACCCCACCCCCAGCCUGGACUCUCCACAGCCCCUUCAGCGGGAAUUCCUCAGUCCAGCAUGGAGUUCCGGUGGAUUUUAUGGGCCAGCCACAAGCAGACAAAUGGAGAAGAAAAACAUCCCCCUGGAGCCCACUCGCCUCUCAGAACCUCACUUCCGCUCAGCCGGAAGGAUGCUGAGCUGUUUUAACCCUGUGUGGGAGGUGACCUCGGAGACGGAUUCAAGAUCCUCCCUGCCCCCACCCUGAAUUGACACUGGUCUUUCCCAAGGCUCUACUUUCCCCCCAAGCAUUCGGCAAAGCUGUUUCAAAGGUUGGUGAGAUGUCUCGGAGGAUGAGGAAACCUGCCACCAAGCCUGACAACCUGAGUUUGAUCCUUGGAUCAUAAACGGUGAAGGAGAGAACUGACUCCUGAG